rnacentral:rRNA from 1 species
CCUACGGGAUGCUGCAGUGAGGAAUAUUGGUCAAUGGACGAGAGUCUGAACCAGCCAAGUAGCGUGAAGGAUGACUGCCCUAUGGGUUGUAAACUUCUUUUAUAUGGGAAUAAAAUGUUCCACGUGUGGGAUUUUGUAUGUACCAUAUGAAUAAGGAUCGGCUAACUCCGUGCCAGCAGCCGCGGUAAUACGGAGGAUCCGAGCGUUAUCCGGAUUUAUUGGGUGUAAAGGGAGCGUAGGUGGAUUGUUAAGUCAGUUGUGAAAGUUUGCGGCUCAACCGUAAAAUUGCAGUUGAAACUGGCAGUCUUGAGUACAGUAGAGGUGGGCGGAAUUCGUGGUGUAGCGGUGAAAUGCUUAGAUAUCACGAAGAACUCCGAUUGCGAAGGCAGUUCACUGGACUGCAACUGACACUGAGGCUCGAAAGUGUGGGUAUCAAACAGGAUUAGAUACCCGAGUAGUC